UUCAGCAGCGAGCUACUGUUUAUAAGAAGGGAUCCCAGCAGCUGAAAGAAGCCAGUCGUUGGGAUUACUCAUUACUUGCCUUGCGAGCUGCUCCAGGGAAUUUCUUGAAGAACUAUGUCAAAAUCAGCCUUAGAAAACCAGUAAUUUGAGAACUUUGAUUGACACAUAUCAAGUGCUCCCAGAUUAGCAUUGGUCAAGUUGGGGGGCUUGGAAGAAAGAUUCUUUUUGUUGGUACUGAGUGAAGAUUUUCCUCUUUCGUGCAAGGAAACAAGAGGAUAAAAAAGGCCUUUUUCCUCUCUGCAAGAAGAAAUCUGACACAUUGGGAACUCAAUCACCAAGGCACCAUGAAUGCUUCCAGGAGGAUACAUUCUCUCCGUGCUCACAGACAGAAAACCAAUGGAAACAAAAGUGAGAACUGGCAUAGCAGCUCUGGGUUCAAGGACCAGCAUGGGGAUGAUCUUGCUACAGUCCAUACCCUUUACACGGUUAUUGUCAUAAUCCUUCUAACGGCAAUCUGGGGAGCCUGGUCAAGGAAGGAUUCAUCCUUAUAGCAGCAAUAUGCUUUCUUUUUUAAUAUUUAAAGGAAUAUUUGUGUCGAUUAUCCAUACCUGCGAGGUACAAAAAAAUGGUCUCAACAUAUUACAGUUUUCUUGAAACUGCUUAAACUGUUGCUACUUGUGGAACUGAAUCUGUGAAGCAAUUUAAUAGGCAAUGUACAGAACAUGACUUUGUGAAUAACGUACACCUGCUUGCACUGUACAUGUUUGCAUUACCCUUCGCAUGUAUAUGAAAAUUACUUCAAGCACAAUAUGCUACCAAGAAGAAGAGUUCAACUUACAUUUUUAUUGGUUGAUGUUUUGUAUAUCCACCCCAGCUUUCCAUUUUUGAACUUACGUUGUCCAGUCUCUACCUCUGCUAAAAUUACCUGUCCCAAUCUAUGGUAAAACAUACACUACAAGGAGGCAAAUAAUCUGCCAUGUCGCAACAACACAGGGAAAAAAAAUAUCAAUAAAACCAGCUAUCCUGCAGGCAAAAGAAGACCUCUGAACAAGUCAAAUUCUCAUCUCUGUUGCUGAAGAGAGUUUAUAUGGGAUUAGCAUCUGCGUAUUUUUAACUUAUGGUAAUGCCUUUGUAAACUCAGGAAUAAAACCAUGAAAUAAACUGUAUUUGUAAGCAUCCUUUGUUGCAGAA